rnacentral:rRNA from 1 species
AGAACCCCGGCGAGGGGAGUGAAAAAGAACCUGAAACCGUGUACGUACAAGCAGUGGGAGCACAGAGCAAUCUGUGUGACUGCGUACCUUUUGUAUAAUGGGUCAGCGACUUAUAUUCUGUAGCAAGGUUAACCGAAUAGGGGAGCCGAAGGGAAACCGAGUCUUAACUGGGCGUUAAGUUGCAGGGUAUAGACCCGAAACCCGGUGAUCUAGCCAUGGGCAGGUUGAAGGUUGGGUAACACUAACUGGAGGACCGAACCGACUAAUGUUGAAAAAUUAGCGGAUGACUUGUGGCUGGGGGUGAAAGGCCAAUCAAACCGGGAGAUAGCUGGUUCUCCCCGAAAGCUAUUUAGGUAGCGCCUCGUGAAUUCAUCUCCGGGGGUAGAGCACUGUUUCGGCAAGGGGGUCAUCCCGACUUACCAACCCGAUGCAAACUGCGAAUACCGGAGAAUGUUAUCACGGGAGACACACGGCGGGUGCUAACGUCCGUCGUGAAGAGGGAAACAACCCAGACCGCCAGCUAAGGUCCCAAAGUCAUGGUUAAGUGGGAAACGAUGUGGGAAGGCCCAGACAGCCAGGAUGUUGGCUUAGAAGCAGCCAUCAUUUAAAGAAAGCGUAAUAGCUCACUGGUCGAGUCGGCCUGCGCGGAAGAUGUAACGGGGCUAAACCAUGCACCGAAGCUGCGGCAGCGACGCUUAUGCGUUGUUGGGUA